UGCGCAGGCGGGCUUGUAAGUCAGUGGUGAAAUACUGCCGCUUAACGGUAGAACUGCCAUUGAUACUGCAAGUCUUGAAUAUGGUUGAGGUAGGCGGAAUGUGUUGUGUAGCGGUGAAAUGCAUAGAUAUGACACAGAACGCCAAUUGCGAAGGCAGCUUACUAAGCCAUUAUUGACGCUGAGGCACGAAAGCGUGGGGAGCGAACAGGAUUAGAUACCCUGGUAGUC
rnacentral:rRNA from 1 species